AACCAGAUGUUGUAAGAACGA
rnacentral:miRNA from 1 species